rnacentral:rRNA from 2 species
GCACUGGGGGUUGUAGGACUGCAAUGUGCAAGAGGUGAGUUUAGCAGAACAUUCUGGAAAGUAUAGCCAUAGAGGGUGAUAGUCCCGUAUGCGAAAAACAAACCUUAGCUAGCAGUAUCCUGAGUAGGGCGGGACACGAGAAAUCCUGUCUGAAGCUGGGUCGACCACGAUCCAACCCUAAAUACUAAUACCAGAUCGAUAGUGCACAAGUACCGUGAGGGAAAGGUGAAAAGAACUGAGGUGAUCAGAGUGAAAUAGAACCUGAAACCAUUUGCUUACAAUCAUUCAGAGCACUAUGUAGCAAUACAGUGUGAUGGACUGCCUUUUGCAUAAUGAGCCUGCGAGUUGUGGUGUCUGGCAAGGUUAAGCAAACGCGAAGCCGUAGCGAAAGCGAGUCUGAAUAGGGCGCUUAGUCAGAUGCUGCAGACCCGAAACGAAGUGAUCUAUCCAUGAGCAAGUUGAAGCUAGUGUAAGAACUAGUGGAGGACUGAACCCAUAGGCGUUGAAAAGCCCCGGGAUGACUUGUGGAUAGGGGUGAAAGGCCAAUCAAACUUCGUGAUAGCUGGUUCUCUCCGAAAUAUAUUUAGGUAUAGCGUUGUGUCGUAAUAUAAGGGGGUAGAGCACUGAAUGGGCUAGGGCAUACACCAAUGUACCAAACCCUAUCAAACUCCGAAUACCUUAUAUGUAAUCACAGCAGUCAGGCGGCGAGUGAUAAAAUCCGUCGUCAAGAGGGAAACAACCCAGACUACCAGCUAAGGUCCCUAAAUCUUACUUAAGUGGAAAACGAUGUGAAGUUACUUAAACAACCAGGAGGUUGGCUUAGAAGCAGCCAUCCUUUAAAGAAAGCGUAAUAGCUCACUGGUCUAGUGAUUUUGCGCGGAAAAUAUAACGGGGCUAAAGUAAGUACCGAAGCUGUAGACUUGAUUUUA